rnacentral:rRNA from 1 species
UACGUAGGGUGCAAGCGUUGUCCGGAAUUAUUGGGCGUAAAGAGCUCGUAGGCGGUCUGUCGCGUCGGCUGUGAAAUCCCGAGGCUCAACCUCGGGUCUGCAGUCGAUACGGGCAAACUUGAGUGUUGCAGGGGAGACUGGAAUUCCUGGUGUAGCGGUGGAAUGCGCAGAUAUCAGGAGGAACACCGGUGGCGAAGGCGGGUCUCUGGGCAGUAACUGACGCUGAGGAGCGAAAGCGUGGGGAGCGAACAGG